UUUGGCUUGUCCAAACGCCAUACCUGCUGAUCUAAAAGCCAUGAGGCUUCAUUGUCCUUGCAUUAACGGCAGUUAGCCUCCAUUAGCACAACUUGUUUUGUUUUUUUCUCUCUUCCUUAUUGGUUUUUCAAAUAAUUCUCGCAAGAUAUGGAUAUAAUUCAUCUCUCAUACGUUUCCCAGUCCUGAAAUCUGAAUUAGGUAAAAGAGUGACAAGAAACCGAAAUAAAGUGAAAACGACAAUAAAAUGCCUCAGGCGUGCUUCUCUACUAGCAGACGUUAACUAUCUCGUGGGUGACGAUACAGUGGAGUUUCAUUGUUUAACAGGUUUGUUUUUACUACAAAUUACGACGGUUUCGCGUUGAUUUGUUUUGCACGUUAGUAGCAAUUCUUGUAGAAACAAAUGGAUUCAAAGAAAAAAGAGAAGGAGAAAGAGAAAGAGAAAGAUGUAGUUGUUUACGAAAAGGAUAUAGACAUGGCUGGUGCUAGUCGGGGUGUUUGGCUUGUGAAAGUACCGAAGUAUAUUUCAAGCCGGUGGGACAAAUGUCCUGGAAAUAUUACAGCUGGUCAAUUAAAUAUUAUCAAGGUGCAAGGACAGAAACCGCAAGUCAAGCUGACUCUGUCAGAGGCUAUCAUGUGCCUCCAGGAAAAGGGAGAGGAACCCAUUCCAAAAGAACAUGGAUUGAUUGUUUCCACAAUUACCUCUCAGACUUUGGGUGUAUUUUCCCAGAAUACAUCACCAGCAUCAUCAAAUUCACCUAUGGAAACUGAGAAGAUCUCAUUUGAAGGCAAAGUUGUUCAGAAAUUAGAAUGCAGACCGACAGCAAAUGCAAGCUACAUGAAACUGAAAAGAGAUUGUUUGAUCAAAGCUGCCCAACCCACAAGAAUUGUGAAACAACUUGAUAGAGUGGUUCAAAGUUACAAGCCAAUCUCUGAACACAAGCAUAAUAAAGAAUUUGAAGAAAAGAAGAAAGCUGAGGGUAAAAAGGCCAGAGAUGACAAAGGCAAAGUUAUGGACAUGCUGUUUGCUGCAUUUGAAAAGCAUCAAUAUUACAAUAUCAAGGACUUGGUGAAAAUCACAAAUCAGCCUGUGACCUACCUUAAGGAAAUUUUAAAGGAUGUUUGUGUUUACAACUUGAAAAAUCCUCACAAAAAUAUGUGGGAAUUGAAACCGGAAUACCGACAUUACAAAGAAGAAGAUAAGGAUUAAUGUCACUAAACUUCUCAUAAAAUCUGUGAUUUGGGGGAAAUGAUCAACCAGUCGUUAGAUGCACAUCCAGUUUAACACAUUCCGUUUGUCAUGGAGCGUAGCUCUAAGCACUUUGGACUUACGAAUAUGACCCAUGAUUCAUUCUUGAUUUUCAGCUUUGGCCGGUGGACUAAUGGUCAAUGCUGAGUUGAAUACAAAACAGAAGGCAACGUAGGUUGAUCGCCAAAUUGCAAUUGAGCGUGGCAUACCUUACUAACGUGAAAUUGAAUCUAGAAAUGUUGUAUUUGUCGAUGGUACUCAUUGUUGCUGUUAAGCAGUCUGAAGUAUCUCAAAUUAGUUCCAGUAAACCUUGCAAAUCAGGAAGAAACUUGGUUUGUAACCUGUACAGAAUUGAAAUGUUUUUCGAUCUUUUAUGCUACGAAACGUACGGAAACGUUAUAUCAUGAAACUGGUAUCAAGGCACUCGAAAUCGAGUACAUUGUCAUUUAGUUGCUCAUGAAUAGUCCCGCUGUACCAAUUCAUCUGACAAAAAAUUUAUAAUUGUAACUGAUGUAAAAGAAAAAACUUUGUAUUUUACAAUAUACUACACAAAAUGUUCACAAA
rnacentral:misc_RNA from 1 species